AGAACGAACGCUGGCGGCAGGCCUAAUACAUGCAAGUCGAGCGGGCGUAGCAAUACGUCAGCGGCGGACGGGUGAGUAACACGUGGGAACAUGCCCUUCGGUACGGAACAACUCAGGGAAACUUGAGCUAAUACCGUAUGAUCCGGCAACGGCAAAGAUUUAUCGCCGAGGGAUCGGCCCGCGUCCGAUUAGCUAGUUGGUGUGGUAAUGGCGCACCAAGGCGACGAUCGGUAGCUGGUCUGAGAGGAUGAUCAGCCACAUUGGGACUGAGACACGGCCCAAACUCCUACGGGAGGCAGCAGUGGGGAAUAUUGGACAAUGGGCGCAAGCCUGAUCCAGCCAUGCCGCGUGAGUGAUGAAGGCCUUAGGGUUGUAAAGCUCUUUCGCCCACGACGAUAAUGACGGUAGUGGGAGAAGAAGCCCGGCUAACUUCGCGCCAGCAGCCGC
rnacentral:rRNA from 1 species